rnacentral:rRNA from 1 species
AUUGAACGCUGGCGGCAUGCUUUACACAUGCAAGUCGAACGGCAGCGCGGGCUUCGGCCUGGCGGCGAGUGGCGAACGGGUGAGUAAUGCAUCGGAACGUGCCCAGUAGUGGGGGAUAGCACGGCGAAAGCCGGAUUAAUACCGCAUACGACCUGAGGGUGAAAGCGGGGGACCGAAAGGCAUCGAGCUAUUGGAGCGGCCGAUGUCGGAUUAGCUAGUUGGUGGGGUAAAGGCUUACCAAGGCGACGAUCCGUAGCUGGUCUGAGAGGACGACCAGCCACACUGGAACUGAGACACGGCCCAGACUCCUACGGGAGGCAGCAGUGGGGAAUUUUGGACAAUGGGGGCAACCCUGAUCCAGCCAUGCCGCGUGCGGGAAGAAGGCCUUCGGGUUGUAAACCGCUUUUGUUCGGGAAGAAAUCCUCUGGGCUAAUACCCCGGGGGGAUGACGGUACCGGAAGAAUAAGCACCGGCUAACUACGUG